GUUGUAUGGUUAAGUGAUUAAGCGUAGACGGUGGAUGCCUUGGCAGUCAGAGGCGAUGAAGGACGUACUAACCUGCGAAAAGCGAUGGUGAGCUGGUAAGAAGCAUUUGAGCCAUCGAUGUCCGAAUGGGGAAACCCACCUGCAUAAGCAGGUAUCUUAGCGUGAAUACAUAGCGCUAAGAGGCGAACUCGGGGAACUGAAACAUCUAAGUACCCGAAGGAAAAGAAAUCAAUUGAGAUUCCGGCAGUAGCGGCGAGCGACCCCGGAGCAGCCCUUAAGCGGCUUAGGCGUUAGGUGAACAGGUUGGAAAACCUAGCAAUAAAGGGUGAUAGCCCCGUAACCGACGGCGCCUUAGGCGUGAAAACGAGUAAGACGGGACACGUGAUAUCUUGUCUGAACAUGGGGGGACCAUCCUCCAAGGCUAAAUACUCCUGACUGACCGAUAGUGAACCAGUACCGUGAGGGAAAGGCGAAAAGAACCCCUGUGAGGGGAGUGAAAUAGAACCUGAAACCGUCUACGUACAAGCAGUGGGAGCCCCAUCACUAAGACACUUCAUCUUAGUGAGACGCUAUCACUUUGUUGAUUGGGUUAACCACGCGAAGCGUGGGUCAACCACCCAAUCCAGCAGAGGUGACUUAGUGAUGGGGUGACCGCGUACCUUUUGUAUAAUGGGUCAGCGACUUAAUGUAAGUAGCUAGGUUAACCGCAUAGGGGAGCCGUAGGGAAACCGAGUCUUAACUGGGCGACAGUUGCUUGCAUUAGACCCGAAACCGAGUGAUCUAGCCAUGGGCAGGUUGAAGGUUGAGUAACAUCAACUGGAGGACCGAACUCACUAACGUUGAAAAGUUAGGAGAUGACCUGUGGCUAGGGGUGAAAGGCCAAUCAAACUCGGAGAUAGCUGGUUCUCCCCGAAAGCUAUUUAGGUAGCGCCUCGGACGAACACUACUGGGGGUAGAGCACUGUUAAGGCUAGGGGGUCAUCCCGACUUACCAACCCUUUGCAAACUCCGAAUACCAGUAAGUGCUAUCCGGGAGACACACGGCGGGUGCUAACGUCCGUCGUGGAGAGGGAAACAACCCAGACCGCCAGCUAAGGUCCCCAAGUUAUCGCUAAGUGGGAAACGAUGUGGGAAGGCUCAGACAGCCAGGAUGUUGGCUUAGAAGCAGCCAUCAUUUAAAGAAAGCGUAAUAGCUCACUGGUCGAGUCGGCCUGCGCGGAAGAUGUAACGGGGCUAAGCGAUACACCGAAGCUGCGGCAAUGUCCUUAUGGAUAUUGGGUAGGGGAGCGUUGUGUAAGCUGUUGAAGGUGUGCUGAGAGGCAUGCUGGAGGUAUCACAAGUGCGAAUGCUGACAUGAGUAACGAUAAAGGGGGUGAAAAACCUCCUCGCCGGAAGACCAAGGGUUCCUGUCCAACGUUAAUCGGGGCAGGGUAAGUCGGCCCCUAAGGCGAGGCCGAAAGGCGUAGUCGAUGGGAAACGGGUUAAUAUUCCCGUACUGCUGCUUACUGCGAUGGGGGGACGGAGAAGGCUAGGUGGGCCUGGCGAUGGUUGUCCAGGUUCAAGUGCGUAGGCUGAUUUCUUAGGCAAAUCCGGGAAAUCGAGGCCGAGACACGAUGUCGAGCCACCAAGGUGGUGAAGUCAUUGAUGCCAUGCUUCCGGGAAAAGCCUCUAAGCUUCAGGUAAGUAGGAACCGUACUCCAAACCGACACAGGUGGUCGGGUAGAGAAUACCAAGGCGCUUGAGAGAACUCGGGUGAAGGAACUAGGCAAAAUGGUACCGUAACUUCGGGAGAAGGUACGCUGCCCGCGGUGAAGUCCCUUGCGGAUGGAGCUAUGGGCAGUCGCAGAUACCAGGUGGCUGCAACUGUUUAUUAAAAACACAGCACUGUGCAAAAUCGAAAGAUGACGUAUACGGUGUGACGCCUGCCCGGUGCCGGAAGGUUAAUUGAUGUGGUUAUCGCAAGAGAAGCCAUUGAUUGAAGCCCCGGUAAACGGCGGCCGUAACUAUAACGGUCCUAAGGUAGCGAAAUUCCUUGUCGGGUAAGUUCCGACCUGCACGAAUGGCGUAAUGAUGGCCACGCUGUCUCCACCCGAGACUCAGUGAAAUUGAAAUCGCAGUGAAGAUGCUGUGUACCCGCGGCUAGACGGAAAGACCCCGUGAACCUUUACUACAGCUUGGCACUGAACAUUGAGCCUACAUGUGUAGGAUAGGUGGGAGGCUUUGAAGCGGCGACGCCAGUUGCUGUGGAGCCAUCCUUGAAAUACCACCCUUGUAUGUUUGAUGUUCUAACUUAGCCCCGUUAUCCGGGGUGAGGACAGUGCCUGGUGGGUAGUUUGACUGGGGCGGUCUCCUCCCAAAGUGUAACGGAGGAGCACGAAGGUGGGCUAAUCACGGUCGGACAUCGUGAGGUUAGUGCAAUGGCAUAAGCCCGCUUAACUGCGAGAGUGACGGCUCGAGCAGGUACGAAAGUAGGUCAUAGUGAUCCGGUGGUUCUGAAUGGAAGGGCCAUCGCUCAACGGAUAAAAGGUACUCCGGGGAUAACAGGCUGAUACCGCCCAAGAGUUCAUAUCGACGGCGGUGUUUGGCACCUCGAUGUCGGCUCAUCACAUCCUGGGGCUGAAGUCGGUCCCAAGGGUAUGGCUGUUCGCCAUUUAAAGUGGUACGCGAGCUGGGUUUAGAACGUCGUGAGACAGUUCGGUCCCUAUCUGCCGUGGGCGUUGGAUGAUUGAGGGGAGCUGCUCCUAGUACGAGAGGACCGGAGUGGACGAACCGCUGGUGUUCGGGUUGUGUCGCCAGACGCAUUGCCCGGUAGCUAAGUUCGGCACAGAUAAGCGCUGAAAGCAUCUAAGCGCGAAGCUGGCCCCGAGAUGAGUCAUCCCUAGAGCCUCGAGCUCUCUAAAGGGUUGUUCUAGACGAGAACGUUGAUAGGCAGGGUGUGUAAGCGCUGUGAGGCGUUGAGCUAACCUGUACUAAUGGCCCGUGAGGCUUAACCAUACAACACCCAAGGGGUUU
rnacentral:rRNA from 1 species